UCAUAGAAGCAGUUAAUAGUUGUAAAUAUAUGAGCUUAAUUGUAAGGCCAUCCAAGCAGAUCCGUUACAUAUGCAUAUGGUUACUUUCUCUAUGGGAUUGGGAAAUUGCUUGUAUUCCUGGGUGGAUACAUUCCCCGUAGAAUAAUAAAAUAGACAUAAGAAUUAAAACAUUAAUGAUUUCACAACAAUGUUUUAUUUCUUUUUGUAGCUGUUAGAGAAAGAUCCUGAAUUUCGCCUCGGUUCGGGUGACGCCGGGGCUGAAAUGAUUAAAGAGCACCCCUUCUUUAGAGUAAGUUUCUAUUCCAUUCCUUUUGAUUUACAGACAGAAAAGCACUAAUGAAUAUUGAUAAAUUCUUCAUGUUUAAUGUAAUUUCAGCUUUACUUUUCCGUAGCCUCGUAAUGCAUUAUAAUUUUUUUUCCAGUUAUUCUAGUUUUUGGACCAGAUACUCAUUGUGAAAUAUCACCUAUCUUUUAGGAUAUGGACUGGGACCAUCUGUUGCAGAGAAGGAUUACGGCUCCAUAUGUACUGGGCAACGAAGACCUGGAGAGCCAAGAGAACCCUGGAUGCCAAGCUCCAGCACUGCCACCAACUGCUGCAAGGAUUCCAUCAGAGCUGCAAGAGGCAUUCAGAGGAUUCUGAAAGAACAACAAUAACACCUAAAUGAACAUCUGAUAAGUAGACGGAAUAGAUGGGGAGGGUGGAGGGCCAGUCCAUAUCCAUAUAAGAAGUCCAUUCAUAUAAAGUGAUGCUCAGGUGUCCCACCUCAGUAAUCUCUGACUGAGUAGGCUAAUGUAGGAAUAGUCUUCUCACACUUUGUAGAAUAUUCUAAAACCUCACCUGUAUAACAGGCAAGUAAGAUCUAGUGGCAACGUGAGAAACAAACAGUGUAUUUUCACACAAACAACUGACACUGUAACAUCCUGCCUGGAUUUGAACCAGCACCCUUCAGGUUACUAUGCAGUCUGUUAUAACUCUGCUCUAUGUAAGCAGAUAACUAGGUGCUUGGUUCAGUUUGCCCCACAAUACAUUCUGUACGUAGCGGCUCCUUCUCUACAGCUGACGUUUGGCACCCUUGCCAGAGAGUCUCUGGAUUCUCGUGCAGUAAGACCUGGCAGCCCCCGAGUAGCUGUGAUUCAGGCCCAAAGCCAAAGGUAGCUGUUAUAGAAGAGCAGGCCAAGACCCCCUGCCUGUGGUUUAGUGACAAACAGGCAAGUAAAAUCUGGUAAAAUCAGGUAAAAUCUUACCUCGGUAAGAAACAAACCAACAGUUGUCACUACCUCACCUUGUUUUUAUUUCCUUCCUGAGUAGGUUGCUGUUGCCCACCUUGGGAGAUCUAAAGAAGAAGAUAUUGCUUUUAUUUGCUUCCUGGUUAGGUUGUAGUUGGCCACCAUGGGAGAUCUAAAGAAGAAGAUAUUGAUGAAGGUUUCCAUGUUUAUCCACCCCAAGAUGUGAGACGGAUUGGCAACAGCCAAAGGAAAUCUUAUUCCACAAUGAAGAUCAUGGAUCAUGUACUGAACAUUGUACUAAACACUGAUUGUAGUCCUUGAGAAGAAAGAAGACUGUACCCCACCUGCCAAGCGCUGCCCACUUUGCCUACCCUAAUAGGCUCCAUGUAAGGAGGUCCGGGCGCCAUCUUUGCGGGCCGGUUCUUGCUGCCUGCCACUGACCUUUGCCUGAUUUUGACUUUGAUUCCAUCUGAUCCCUCCUGUACCGCAUUUUGGAAAGUGAGUAGGAUCCCUGUGUAUCCCGCCGCAGAAAGCCCGGGGCCCCAAAAGGGCGUCGGUGAACACCGGGGUCGGCAGGGCUCUCCUGCCUCACUUAAGAGGUUAUUCCCUGGCAGUUUUGGUUCCUAUAUAUAUACAGUCCGUUACACACCAUUUCAUACAUAACUGCUUUGUUAUGCUCACUUUAUGUAUAUGAUAAUACAAAUAAAAAAUAUUGCUUAUCAAGAA